rnacentral:piRNA from 1 species
ACCCAAUGCCAGUUAAUGUGUAAGCCUC